UUUUUUUUUGUUGUUGUUGUUGUUUAAAUAAUAGAGAGAAAUUUUAAACGCCGUCGCCGUGCCGUUAAAAAAAAAAAAAGAUUGCGAACGAUAUAAACGUUAUAAAAGUUGUCUAAAAUUAUUUUUAAAAACCGGAGACGGCGAUAACUGUGUCGAGUUUGGCGAUGACGUGUUAAUAAGCGAAUUUUUGAAGUUUGUAAAAAUUAUAAUUAUCCCAUUAGAGUGCUUUCGGAUUUUUUUUUUUUUUUUGGUAGGUGUGAAGUAACGAUGGAAGAGAGGAUAUAAAAAAAUUAUGCGAAUAAUAUGAUAAAAAAAAAACUGGUACAAAUUGCAAAUGAAACCCGAGAUGUCUUGGCUAUUAUUACACUAAGGCGACCAGAUCAAAAUUUCAGAGGAUGACAGAUUCGAUUGGGUUGGUGAAUAAUGAAUAGUUUUCUCGCAACACCUGCCUCGGAAAAAUUUUCUUACUCAACAACCCCCGUCGAAGUUUUUCCCCGUGAUCCCCCGUGUAUUUCGUAGGUGGGAGUAAUUAUUGACGUCACUUCCCACUUCGCUUCCCGUUGCCUUUACGGUAAACAGGAAACGUCACCGUUAUUCCCCCCGACCAUUACGAAACGUUUUAUGCGUGCUGCGUGUGACGUAAAGAGGGAAAUGCCGAAUUCCAACAUCCCGACCCUUUGUGGUUACAUUCGGAGGGACGAGGGGAGCGGCGGGGUCACAGGUCAACGCUCGGUGUGGGCCCACUUCGUUUCUUCUAGCUGCAUGAGGUCGGUGAUGGAAACAGGCGAUACGAACGGCAUCUAUCACGCGAUACAAUUUAGUUUCUUCACGUUCACGCGCGUCACAUUUUUUUUCCCCUCUCGGAAAUUAAAGCCACGCUCUGUUUUAUUAUCUUCAUUUUCGCACCGUGACAGUUUUUGGAAGAUCCCCACUAAAUUAGCGAGGGGAGACGAACGUGUAAUUGUAGGAAAGAUGACGCUUGUAGCAAAUCUAUCUACCCCCGCGAUGGAAGAAUGAGCGCAGUCUCUGGUCGGGUCGAUGUUUUUUCUCCCAUUUUUUCCCUCCCGAAGAGAGAGGGGGAGAGAGAUGAUGUUGCUCUUGACAUCCCCUAUUUUCCCCAAUUCUGUCGGCACCGGUUAAUUAAAAGCUAUCAGUUGACGCUUUACCUUGCUCGCUUUCGGUAUCUCGCCGGUUUUUAAGUAAGCAAUUUGGACGGGUAUAAGAAAAGGUGUAGACAUUGCUUAUUCUCCCAAGAUGGAUCAGGUCGGCCUACUAUCGUAUACAAAUUGUUAGGCGCUGGUUUUUAAAUGUCCGCAGCUAGAGGAAAUAUAGAAUAAUAUUGAUGGGAAAUUUUUAUGAUGCAUUAACAAAGUGGGGAUCGCCGAGAUACAUUUAUAAUUAGAAAUUUUGAUUGAUUGAGAUAUUUAUCUGGCCAAUGGUUUUUUUUCCUCUUUUAAAGUUUUUUGGGGCGAAGAUAUACAUAAAGCGGACGUGAGUUUAACUAUUUACAAAGGAAAACGUUUAAAAACCGAACAUAAAAUAUCAGAAAUCGAUUAAUCGCCCAAAUGUGCCGAUAACGUGCGGCGUUGUUCACAGAAAAAGUAACAAUACUCGAUUUUCGGCGAUAAAAAUAAAUUACUGCGAAAGAUCUUAAGUGAUUUAUGUACACUUGGAGAAUCAUCAAGACACCAAGUCGACCUGUUUUUUAGUUAUUUAUUUGUUUCUAUUGUUUUGCGAAAACAAGAUCUAUCGUUCUGUAGAAAAGUUGAAGCGUGUGUGUCCUGUGUGGACACUCUUAUCAAUACUGGAAACGGGUUUGUCAACUUAGAAUUGUAGAAAAGCAGAUGAAUCUGUACGUAUAAUAUCCGCUGGCAGAGAUAGUAUGAAUAUUCAAUGAUGGCAAUCGGUCACCAUCAUAGGUACAUAUGUCGGGUUUGUUUCGCGUGUACCCUUAAUGAAACAAUGUCGAGAAAAAUGCUCUCGUUUAGCAUUGCAGCUGUAAACAUUUUGAUAACACGUCACGCUCGUUCAUGACGGUUGAUAAUUAAAACCAACUGUAAAUAUCCUUGACACGGUUGGUUGAUUGCGUUUAAUGCUAUUUUCUCUCUCCUUUUUUUUUUUUUUGUUGUUUUAAUCGGAUUUCGUAAUUACAGUUUCUCUCUCUCUAUUGCCAGAAAGUCGUGUUAAAAUACGAUAGAAAUUCGGUGUUGUUUUUUUUUUUUAAACAGUUGAAUGGCCGGCCGUUCUUGUUUAAAGAAAGAUCUUUUUACAGAAACUAAAGAUAGUCCCCGCCAUAUAUCACUGUCGACAGCAUUCUUAGAAUCGUAACUCUUGCUUUUCAAUUAAACACAAGUUUGAUCGUCGCAGAACCGGUUACGCCAACUUACACUCCACCCCAUCGACCACGUGUGUAUGUCGUUACGUGUGCUUGUAACUCAUUAGCAUUCCAUCGAGCUUACAGCCUGUGGCUAUAUUGUUUCGGCAGCACACGUUAAUAGAACGACGGACUGAUGACAUACACACAUAACUGACAUUUAGUUCCGGUUUCAUUGUUGGGCCUGUCAACAAGUGUACAAUGUCUAUGUGACGUCAACUGCUUUUUUUCCCCCUCCACGUGGUUUUUCUUUUUUUACUUUUUUGUUUCUUCUUCGCGUUCGGUGUUUUUGUUCCGUCCUAUCUCCCGUUUCAUUUUUCUGCAUUCUAGCAGAUUUAUCACGACUCCUUUCAGAGGAAGUCGCUCGGUUUUUUUAUUUUUUUAAUGCAAAGAGAUCGUAUCGUCCGGUGGGCGUAUUGUUUUCCCCCAAUUUCCUCCUAAUCUCUAACCUCUCUACCUAUCGCCUUCUUUAGAAUUCUCUUUUCUCUCUUCUCUGCGGACGUACAAAUAAAAACAUUAAUUCAAGCUCCGUUCUUUAUUCAUACUUUAAUAACAUCGUACCGGAUAGGUUUGUCUAAGAAUCACCGCACAGAUGAUUACACAUCUUAUUAAUUUAAGCUUUUUGAAUGCAGAAAAAUGUCGUUCGCCCGAUAAUUUGUUUUUUACGACCAGAAAGGGGAGAUGCUGCCGUUGUUGUCGCUGUUAAAUUCUCUUUCUGUAAAAGUUUUCUUAACGAUAUUAAAACUGUAUCAUCGGAGGAAAAAGAGAGAGAGAGACGUCAGGACGUUUCGGAGCCAAAAAUUGUCUUUCGGAAUAUCUUGGCUAAUUGCUGAUUCGGUCGUUGCUAUAUUGUUUAUGGCACGUUCUGCCGAAAAAAAAUAUAAAAGAAGAGGUCAUCUUGGUCUUCGGUGACGGUCAAUAGACAACAAACGUCGUCUCUAUAUCCGGUCACUUGCCUCUCUCAAAAGCUAAGGUCUAUCUGAUUGGAGGAAGAGAUCGAGAUAUUGGAGCGAUUACCUCAUCCUCAAAGGACGAAGAGAUUUGAUAUCGACGAGGAUUAAACUUCAGCUUAGAGACUAUAUUCCAUCGUCACUUUGGAGAUGCGUCCAGAUUUUUUUUCCUCCUUUUCUUGCCACUUCCAAGCACUUUUAUCCCGCACGUUUGGCGUUAUUAUUGGAAUUGGGCUAUUUGCUGACGGUAAAACUUAAAUAGCCGUAUUAAAAAAAUAUAUAUUUUAACGACUUUUUAAUACUUUAAAAUCCAGUAAAUGGUAAAUUUAGUUUAAUAACAAUACAGUGUUGAUGGGGCGAUAAGCGCGCUUACAUAAAAGGAGAAAAAAAAUAUAUUAGAAGGUAAUGUCUUAGUUUUAUUUAUCAAUGAGCAGGGUAAUAGUAGUCAUUUCAAAUAAUCCAUCAGUUUAGUUCGAUCGGUUCGCCACCUGGACAGAAGCAAGCAUCUCGCCUCAACAGAUCAGUCAGAGGGGGGAAAACACACAGGACGAACUAGCUACUCCAAAUUGUGGGCAGUCAGUUAUUAAGGAGCGGGUGUGAACGAGGUAGGAGAAGAAGAAGAAGGAAAAAAUCCUCUACCGUAUAAAGACGUUAGGGGCCGCUGUGUCCACCAGGUAUCAUCCAUCACCAUUGCUCAACUGCUGUCAAAUGGCCGGGACCAACUCUACCUCAAUUCCCGCGUUUUAAAAUAACGCCUCUCCCAUUUUCCUCCCCCUUUUUCUAGCGACGGGACGGAUUCUUCACUUCCUUAUUUGAAAUAUAACGCGUGCAUAAACAUUCUACGCCUUCUUUUCUUCCCUUCAAGCCAUAGAUUGUCAAGUAACGCUCGGACUUAUCGCCAGACCAAUCUUCGAAUUCCCGUCUUUUAAAAUUCUGUUGCAUUUUCUUACCUUCUUCGGUUUCACGAAUUAAAUUACAGGUCCUCCUCUCAUCCUUCCAAAUAAUAAUAAAAAAAGAGAGAGAGAAAAUAGUCGAACCGAAUGGGAAGAGCCAGUUUUCGGAAAUUAUUUAAAUUAAAUACAUAAUUUAUAACAUAAUGCAUAUUGCAUUUAUUUAUAAAUAUCGAUGCGACGAUUAUUAUGGUAAAAAUUCGCUAAAGUAUGCGUUAAAUUUAUCUAGAAUCGUGGCUUGUGGCAUGUUAACGCAAGUAAAGGCGAGUAAAUUAGGCGAAGGUUAGGAUUGAUUCUGUUAUCUUCUAGCUCUCUUCGCAUCCGUUUAUUUUAUUUUCCUCUCUCUCUCUCUCUGUCUCUCUUUACUUUCGGCCAGUGUUAAAUUCUGGGGACGACACCAUCUGGUUGGUGUGACGUUGAGCCGUAGAUCUCGAGAAUCCCGGUUCAAAUACAAUAGGGAAUUUUAUCGUAUUCCAGUUCAGGACUUCUUCCCAGAUGUGGCCAAGAAGGGAUAUACGACACAGCUCGAUGAUAUAUUACUUCUAGUUGUACUAUAAGAAAGAAAUCAGAAGGGUAUUACGCUAUACCUUUGGGGGUUCAGUGGCCAGGAAGCAUUACUACUCACUUUUUAAAGCGUCCUUUCUGUGUUACCUUAUACUAAUCAUACCCUGUAAAACGCGCAAAACUUUAUAUUUUUUUUAUGUGUUUUGUUUUUUUUUUAAUUAUGAUUCGACCCCUUCUGUUGGAUAAACAACGGAAGAUUGCAGAAAAUAAACAGAUGCGUGUGAUAUUCGCAUUAGUUGAACCGGUGCGUGAUGUACACCACUUAUCCGAAAACGUUUAUAUAGAAAGACCGAAGGAGGAAGGAUGUUAUAGAAAUACGAGGGUAUAGAGUUUAACUCCACGAUAGUUUUCGUUGGAAACAACAGGAAGCCAAUUACGUAGUGUGUGUAUGUGUAGGCAGAGUUUUGGUCAAGCUGAUAAUCUUUCCAAUACGAGGUCGUUCGGACGGUCUGAAUGGUGGGAGAUUUUGUCCGAGUAUCUCUCCCACUCUGCCAUGCGCGCCAAAUGAUACCGUGUCGUGUAAGAUAGAUUAUGGAAGUAAUGCUAUAAGUAUCGGAGGGGAACCAUUUUAAAAAGGCUGUAACAGGUGACGACUACUCACGAAUGUUUAUACAAACUUUCGGACGGUGCUAUUAAAUUAUUAAUAUUUUCACAUUACGCUCGGAAUUACUUUAAAGCCUCGAUCUUCUUUGUGGUUUUUUUUUAUGUGUUAUGUGUGUGUGUGCGCGCGCGUAUAUAGAAAAUUUUACUGUUUUCAUUACAAUUGAAGUUUGCGUGCUAUCGAGACUAGAUUUUCGUUCCUUUCCCCCUUAAAUGGGUAAUGGUAUCACGUUAUGCUUUUAUAUUUCCUACAGUGCCAGUUAUAAUCCAAUUUAAUUUUACAUUUCAUCCUUGGAAUUUAUUAGAAAAAAAAAAUACAAUUUAAAAUUUUUUUUUCCUCUCCGAAGUCGAUCCGUGUAA
rnacentral:lncRNA from 1 species